rnacentral:rRNA from 1 species
GCAAGUCGAACGAAGCACUUUUACAGAUUUCUUCGGAAUGAAGUUUUAGUGACUGAGUGGCGGACGGGUGAGUAACGCGUGGGUAACCUGCCUCACACAGGGGGAUAACAGUUGGAAACGGCUGCUAAUACCGCAUAAGCGCACAGUACCGCAUGGUACGGUGUGAAAAACUCCGGUGGUGUGAGAUGGACCCGCGUCUGAUUAGCUAGUUGGCAGGGCAACGGCCUACCAAGGCGACGAUCAGUAGCCGACCUGAGAGGGUGACCGGCCACAUUGGGACUGAGACACGGCCCAAACUCCUACGGGAGGCAGCAGUGGGGAAUAUUGCACAAUGGGGGAAACCCUGAUGCAGCGACGCCGCGUGAGCGAAGAAGUAUUUCGGUAUGUAAAGCUCUAUCAGCAGGGAAGAAGAAAUGACGGUACCUGACUAAGAAGCACCGGCUAAAUACGUGCCAGCAGCCGCGGUAAUACGUAUGGUGCAAGCGUUAUCCGGAUUUACUGGGUGUAAAGGGAGCGCAGGCGGAAGGCUAAGUCUGAUGUGAAAGCCCGGGGCUCAACCCCGGUACUGCAUUGGAAACUGGUCAUCUAGAGUGUCGGAGGGGUAAGUGGAAUUCCUAGUGUAGCGGUGAAAUGCGUAGAUAUUAGGAGGAACACCAGUGGCGAAGGCGGCUUACUGGACGAUAACUGACGCUGAGGCUCG